rnacentral:rRNA from 1 species
AUGUGAACUUACCUAUGUUGCCUCGGCGGGGAACCUACCUACCCGGGAAGCUACCCGCCGGCGGACCAUUCCAAACUCUUGAUUUUGUUUUAGCACUUCUGAAUUAUCAUAAAUUUGGUUAAAACUUUCAACAACGGAUCUCUUGGUUCUGGCAUCGAUGAAGAACGCAGCGAAAUGCGAUAAGUAGUGUGAAUUGCAGAAUUCAGUGAAUCAUCGAAUCUUUGAACGCACAUUGCGCCCAUUAGUAUUCUAGUGGGCAUGCCUGUUCGAGCGUCAUUUCAACCCUCAAGCCUUAGUUGCUUGGUGUUGGGAGCUUAUCCUGCCGAAAGGCGGAUAACUCCUUAAAACCAUUGGCGGAGUCGCGGUGACCCCCAAGCGUAGUAAUUUUUAUUUCCUCGCUUUAGGCGUUAACGCUGGCCUCUAGCCGCUAAACCCCCUAAUUUUUUUAAUGGUUGACCUCGGAUCAGGUAGGACUACCCGCUGAACUUAAGCAUAUCAAUAAGCGG